CAAGGCGACGAUCUGUAGCUGGUCUGAGAGGACGACCAGCCACACUGGAACUGAGACACGGUCCAGACUCCUACGGGAGGCAGCAGUGGGGAAUUUUGGACAAUGGGCGCAAGCCUGAUCCAGCAAUGCCGCGUGCAGGAUGAAGGCCUUCGGGUUGUAAACUGCUUUUGUACGGAACGAAAAGGCUCUUUUUAAUACAAGGGGCUAAUGACGGUACCGUAAGAAUAAGCACCGGCUAACUACGUGCCAGCAGCCGCGGUAAUACGUAGGGUGCGAGCGUUAAUCGGAAUUACUGGGCGUAAAGCGUGCGCAGGCGGUUUUGUAAGACAGAUGUGAAAUCCCCGGGCUUCAACCUGGGACCUGCAUUUGUGACUGCAAGGCUAGAGUACGGUAGAGGGGGAUGGAAUUUCCGCGUGUAGCAGUGAAAUGCGUAGAUAUGCGGAGGAACACCGAUGGCGAAGGCAAUUCCCCUGGACCCUG
rnacentral:rRNA from 1 species